AUACCCAUUCUAUUAUCAUUAUUCCGUGAUAUAUCCAACUAUAAUCUGGUUUCAUCUACGUAAUCAAUCAGAUUCAACUAAUUAGAUCAAGUCACAAAAAUUCAAUUAUAACCAAACAUAACAAUAUUCAAAAUAAAAAAAUACCUUUAAAGUCCCUCCACUUAACCAUUUUCAAGUAACUAAGUCACCAACCAAACCACAUUCAAAACAAAAAAAAUCCCUUUAAAGUCCCUGCACUUAACCAUUUUCAAGUGACUAAGUAUCAAAAACAAACCAUAUUCAAAACAAAAAAAAUCCCUUUAAAGUCCCUGCACUUAACCAUUUUCAAGUAAC
rnacentral:lncRNA from 1 species